UUGCAGAAUUCCGUGAUCAUCGAAUCUUUGAACGCACCUUGCGCUCUAUGGCAAUCCGUAGAGCAUGCCUGUUUGAGUGCCGUGAAAUCUCCCACCCCAAGCGGUUUUUACAUGAAACGGCUUGGCGGAUGGGGUCUGGAUGGGUGCCUCUGCCUGCGCUACCUAGCACAGGCUCGCCCGAAAUGCAUGAGCGCCUUAAAACCUUUGCUUCCCCUUCUCGGUUUGGAAGAAGGCGGCCAACCAUGGUUUUUCCCCGGGCUUGGCUGGAUCCUUCUUUUGCUUGGUCCCCAAAAGGAGAAUGGUUGGGUUGGUUCGGCUGGGGCUCCAAACUUGCCUCGGGGGCACUUCCCAUUUUCCCUUCGGGCCUCAAACCAGGAAGAAUCACCCGCUAAACU
rnacentral:misc_RNA from 1 species